AAGCCAGUCAAUGAAUCUGCUUACCUGAAUGUGUUUCUGCAGGAAAAAAACCUGGCAAUAGUAAAGCCAUGUUACGAGCCUUAAGGACAUUGAAGUCGUUAAGGUCCCUGAAAUGGAUAUAACA
rnacentral:snoRNA from 1 species